rnacentral:tRNA from 1 species
GGCCCUAUCGUCUAAUGGUUAGGACACCGCCCUUUCAAGGCGAGAAUCCCGGUUCAAAUCCGAGUAGGGCUGCCA